rnacentral:rRNA from 1 species
AAUGAACGCUGGCGGCAUGCCUAACACAUGCAAGUCGAACGAAGCCUUCGGGCUUAGUGGCGCACGGGUGCGUAACGCGUGGGAAUCUGCCCUUGGGUUUGGAAUAACAGUUAGAAAUGACUGCUAAUACCAAAUGAUGUCGCAAGACCAAAGAUUUAUCGCCCAAGGAUGAGCCCGCGUAAGAUUAGCUAGUUGGUGAGGUAAAAGCUCACCAAGGCGACGANCUUUAGCUGGUCUGAGAGGAUGAUCAGCCACACUGGGGACUGAGACACGGCCCAGACUCCUACGGGAGGCAGCAGUGGGGAAUAUUGGACAAUGGGCGAAAGCCUGAUCCAGCAAUGCCGCGUGAGUGAUGAAGG